rnacentral:snRNA from 1 species
GAAUGUGAAAGCAAUUUGGUUGCAAUAUUGUCACACGACUGAUCAUCACAAUUCAUUUGGAACAUCUAGUUGGCUAGGCAGAUGUCUCCUUCCUCCCUCAUUUCUAUUCCAAAAGCUGCACAUCCAGUCAAAGAGGAUGACCUUCCCAUAAUGAGGAAUAUCACCCUGUUGGCAAGGGUAUAAAAGUAGCUCUAAUACCUUGCUAAAACCUCCAAACAAGCUCUCUAGGUCCACUUAUGGAUGAACAUCGGGUGGUCAGAGCACAUCUAAAAGAGGCAUUUUAUGUGACAGUCUGACAUUCUUU